AGUGAACGCUGGCGGUAGGCCUAACACAUGCAAGUCGAACGGCAGCACAGUAAGAGCUUGCUCUUACGGGUGGCGAGUGGCGGACGGGUGAGGAAUACAUCGGAAUCUACUUUUUCGUGGGGGAUAACGUAGGGAAACUUACGCUAAUACCGCAUACGACCUACGGGUGAAAGCAGGGGAUCUUCGGACCUUGCGCGAUUGAAUGAGCCGAUGUCGGAUUAGCUAGUUGGCGGGGUAAGGCCCACCAAGGCGACGAUCCGUAGCUGGUCUGAGAGGAUGGUCAGCCACACUGGAACUGAGACACGGUCCAGACUCCUACGGGAGGCAGCAGUGGGGAAUAUUGGACAAUGGGCGCAAGCCUGAUCCAGCAAUACCGCGUGGGUGAAGAAGGCCUUCGGGUUGUAAAGCCCUUUUGUUGGGAAAGAAAAGCAGCAGGUUAAUACCCCGCUGUUCUGACGGUACCCAAAGAAUAAGCACCGGCUAACUUCGUG
rnacentral:rRNA from 1 species